rnacentral:rRNA from 1 species
GUGAGACAGGUGCUGCAUGGCUGUCGUCAGCUCGUGUUGUGAAAUGUUGGGUUAAAUCCCGCAACGAGCGCAACCCUUAUCCUUUGUUGCCAGCGAUUAGGUCGGGAACUCAAAGGAGACUGCCAGUGAUAAACUGGAGGAAGGUGGGGAUGACGUCAAGUCAUCAUGGCCCUUACGACCAGGGCUACACACGUGCUACAAUGGCGCAUACAAAGAGAAGCGACCUCGC